UACGGAGGGAGCUAGCGUUGUUCGGAAUUACUGGGCGUAAAGCGCGCGUAGGCGGCUUUGUAAGUUAGAGGUGAAAGCCCGGGGCUCAACCCCGGAACUGCCUUUAAGACUGCAUCGCUUGAAUCCGGGAGAGGUGAGUGGAGUUCCGAGUGUAGAGGUGAAAUUCGUAGAUAUUCGGAAGAACACCAGUGGCGAAGGCGGCUCACUGGACCGGUAUUGACGCUGAGGUGCGAAAGCGUGGGGAGCAAACAGG
rnacentral:rRNA from 1 species